rnacentral:rRNA from 1 species
AUGGGACGCUCCAAGGGGGUCGAUGACACUGACCUCCAGGAAAUCCUAGCGAUGCGUGAGGAUUUUGGAAUUCUGCAGAAAGAUAGCAGUCAGAUGCAAACGCAGGUAUCAAAAUUGCAAGAGGAAGUGAAGUCAAUCGGCUCCAAGCAAGGGGAAAUCUCUGUUACUGUGGGAGAAGUGGAAAAGGUAGUGUUGGAUUUGGGCAAACAAUUAUCUGCAAUAAGUACAGUGUUGCAAACCCUGGUGAAAACAACACAAAUAGUGCAACCUGAGGAUCGUCCAUCCAGCUCUCAGGAAGUACCCAGGUCACCUACACUGAACCAAGACCAAGCUCAGGAACAAGAAUCGAGGGUAGAACAGCUCAGGAGGCAAUUAGUAGCAGAAAAGGAGAAAUCCAAGCAGCUGGAGGAAAUUCAAUUGCAGAACCUUCCACCAAUCAGAACCAACAGAACAAAUGGACCUCCUGGUUUUGUGCCCCAAGGAAGACAGGAAACUCAUAGCAAUGUUGGUACUCCUAUGACAGCAAGACAAAAUGCUCAUACACCCGUUUUUAACCAGUUUUAUCAACAGAACAGGGAUAGGCAACUCUGGCAGGGCUAUCACAGGACUUAUGAACAGGACAUGCAAGCACAGUUCAUGAGAUCUCUAACAAAAGGCCCUAAAAUGGAUUUUCCUCGAUUUUCUGGUGAAGACCCAGUGGGAUGGAUCAGGCAAUGUAAUAAAUAUUUUCAAAUGGUAGCUGCUCCUGAGGAAUACAAAGUUUCAUUGGCUCAGAUGUAUAUCAUGGGGGAGGCAGAUGUCUGGUUAAGAAGAUCAGGGCUGUUAAAGAAACAAUUAACUUGGAAACAAUUUGGAGUUGAGGUGGUGAAGAGAUUCUCUGAACAAGGAUCUUAUGACCUUACUGAAAAAUUCAAUUCACUGAAACAAGCUAGCAAUACAGUGGCUGUUUAUACAAAACAGUUUGAAGAUUUAAUGGCAGAAAUCAUGGAAGAAAGCCCUGAACUAGGAGAAACUUGGUUUGUUAUAUGUUAUGUGAAUGGUCUUAGGGAAGGAAUUAAGUUCCAACUUAGACCAUUGAGACCACAAACUCUAACUGAUGCUUACUGUCUAGCAAAAGAAGUGGAACCCAAUCAUCCAUACAUCAGUGCAGUGCCAAAGAAACCAAGCAUUCCUUUUGUGAAUUACUAUCAGAAAAACACUGGAGGUGUUCCAAACAAAAACAACUCCGUUUUCCAUACUGCACAACAAAACAUUCCAGCCAAACAAACAGAGACCAACAACAAUACAUUCCAGAAAGUGAGAAAAGCAGGAGAAUGUUGGAGAUGUGGAGAUAAGUGGAUACCAGGGCACAAGUGCAAAUUAGUACCUAAUGUACACUUAAUGCAAUAG